rnacentral:rRNA from 1 species
UACGUAGGGGGCAAGCGUUGUCCGGAAUCAUUGGGCGUAAAGAGCGUGUAGGCGGCCAGAUAGGUCCGUUGUGAAAACUGGAGGCUUAACCUCCAGCGGUCGAUGGAAACCAUCUGGCUAGAGUCCGGAAGAGGAGAGUGGAAUUCCUGGUGUAGCGGUGAAAUGCGCAGAUAUCAGGAGGAACACCGGUGGCGAAGGCGGGUCUCUGGGCCGAUACUGACGCUGAGGUGCGAGAGCGUGGGGAGCGAACCGG